AUUGAACGCUGGCGGCAUGCCUUACACAUGCAAGUCGAACGGCAGCACGGGUGCUUGCACCUGGUGGCGGGUGGCGAACGGGUGAGUAAUACAUCGGAACGUACCUUAUCGUGGGGGAUAACGCAGCGAAAGCUGGGCUAAUACCGCAUACGCCCGGAGGGGGAAAGCGGGGGAUCGGAAGACCUCGCGCGAUUCGAGCGGCCGAUGCCUGAUUAGCUUGUUGGUGGGGUAAAAGCCCACCAAGGCGACGAUCAGUAGCUGGUCUGAGAGGACGAUCAGCCACACUGGGACUGAGACACGGCCCAGACUCCUACGGGAGGCAGCAGUGGGGAAUUUUGGACAAUGGGGGCAACCCUGAUCCAGCAAUGCCGCGUGAGUGAAGAAGGCCUUCGGGUUGUAAAGCUCUUUUGUCAGGGAAGAAACACCGGCUCUAACACAGUCCGGGAAUGACGGUACCUGAAGAAUAAGCACCGGCUAACUACGUGCCAGCAGCCGCCGUAA
rnacentral:rRNA from 1 species